UACGUAGGGUGCAAGCGUUAAUCGGAAUUCCUGGGCGUAAAGCGUGCGCAGGCGGUGAUGUAAGACAGAUGUGAAAUCCCCGGGCUCAACUUGGGAACUGCAUUUGUGACUGCAUCGCUGGAGUGCGGCAGAGGGGGAUGGAAUUCCGCGUGUAGCAGUGAAAUGCGUAGAUAUGCGGAGGAACACCGAUGGCGAAGGCAAUCCCCUGGGCCUGCACUGACGCUCAUGCACGAAAGCGUGGGGAGCAAACAGG
rnacentral:rRNA from 1 species